rnacentral:rRNA from 1 species
CCAGACUCCUACGGGAGGCAGCAGUGAGGAAUAUUGGUCAAUGGGCGGAAGCCUGAACCAGCCAAGUCGCGUGAGGGAAUAAGGCCCUACGGGUCGUAAACCUCUUUUGUCGGGGAGCAAAAGCCGGACGUGUCCGGCUGUGAGAGUACCCGAAGAAAAAGCAUCGGCUAACUCCGUGCCAGCAGCCGCGGUAAUACGGAGGAUGCGAGCGUUAUCCGGAUUUAUUGGGUGUAAAGGGUGCGCAGGCGGCACGGCAAGCCGGGGGUGAAAGCGCGGGGCUCAACCCCGGCCAGCCGUCGGAACUGCCGGGCUAGAGUGGGCGAGAAGUGCGCGGAAUGCGUGGUGUAGCGGUGAAAUGCAUAGAUAUCACGCAGAACUCCGAUUGCGAAGGCAGCGCACCGGCGCCCUGCUGACGCUCAGGCACGAAAGCGUGGGUAUCGAACAGGAUUAGAUACCCCUGUAA